CAGAGCUGUGGGAGACAUUCCCUGUUAGUAGGUGUCAUCUGGAUGAAGAUGCAGCAAAGAAGAUUGAAAAGGAGCAGUCACAUGGAUAUGUGAUUUCAAUAUCAGGAACCUUAAUUUUGCAAGAGGACACCAGCCUGGCCAAUUACAUUGGAAAACAACAACAAUAACAACAGCAACGACAACCAGAAAAUACUGCAAGCAAUGCAGAUUUACCUGAUCUGAGGGACUCUGUCACUUCCUGUUACCAGGAUGGCAAAAUGCAUUAUCCUAAUAUAAUGGCAAACUGCAGUUAUCCAGCAAUAAUAGAGCCAUCUGAGUCUAGCGGCA